rnacentral:misc_RNA from 1 species
GAAAUGCGAUAAGUAAUGUGAAUUGCAGAAUUCAGUGAAUCAUCGAAUCUUUGAACGCACAUUGCGCCCCCUGGUAUUCAGGGGGGCAUGCCUGUUCGAGCGUCAUUUCACCACUCAAGCCUCGCUUGGUAUUGGGCGACGCGGUCCGCCGCGCGCCUCAAAUCGACCGGCUGGGUCUUCCGUCCCCUCAGCGUUGUGGAAACUAUUCGCUAAAGGGUGCCGCGGGAGGUCACGCCGCAAAACAACCCCAUUUCUAAGGUUGACCUCGGAUCAGGUAGGGAUACCCGCUGAACUUAAGC